rnacentral:lncRNA from 1 species
AAGGCAGUAAGCGCUCAGAUGAUAGAAUGCGGUGCCUCCAGACAAGAUACUGUCAUCAUCAGGGCGUCAGCAUACAUCCAGCUUUGUGAGCGAAGACCUGCUCUAGUCAGGCUCUUGCUGUGCUCUGUGACUCCAUGUUCCCAAGUUUUGUGCUUUUCAGAUAUCAUCUCUCCACUUCGGGUGCAUGUCCGAGAAUCCCAUUCUGUCAUUAUUUGAUAAGCACAGUAAAAAUAUUCUUUUAUCACACUUUUCAGAUUUAAGCAUCUUUUCUGACACUGUGUAGGUCCAGCUGCUACUUGGCCUUCUCUAGACAUAUUUUGCAUGGAUAAUGCAUUUGCAUUUGAAGAGUCAUCUGUUAUUUUGCUUUCUCCCUUCCAUAGCAAUUUGGUUGACUUCUUGUCUAGCAAAGCCAUUCUCAUCAGAGUUCUUUCUCUUUCCCUGCAUGAUUUGACUACCAAUGAAAACUUGCUAUUGAGACAUCUUGUCACCCUUAGGACAAAAAAUGGCUGUAGAUUUUUAGGCAGCAGCCGAUCAAUCAUUCUUCCAUUUACCAGCAUGGAAACCAAUUUGGCAGAGAUGUCAUGUGAGAAUACGCCUUGGCUCUUUGAGUUAUUAUGGCAUAACGCCAUGUGUAACUGAUGCUAUUUUCAACAUAACAAAUUAUUUUUGUACAUUUUUACAAUUCAUAUAAGGUAAGAAAGUAUAGCAUGAACAUAGAAUAAAUGCUAAGUGUCCUAAGCAAAAAAAGAGGAAAGGGGAAUAAAGAGUGAAAGAAAAUGCAAGAAACAAAAUUGUGGCUGUGCUAAUUUUAUCGUUGGCACUGACCUCUUUCUUUUGAGUCAAGACCGUGUGUUGAUGGGCCCAUGCUGCAGGCAGAUACUGACCACGGGUUUCCCCUCUAUCUGAAAAGUAGAGCCUUUCUGCAAGCUGAAAUGGCUUCAAAGGAAGAAGCAAUUACUUUGGGACACAUCCUGCCAAGGGAUGCACAGAAUAAAUCGAGGUAAAACACAGAUGCUCACACAGUUCAGAGCUCUGGGGGCCUGAUGCUGAUAUGCUGAGUCUGGUUCCUGGGGAAGGAGCUUGCACAGCCACUCAUCCUGCUCAGGUGCACCAGCCUCAGUAGUGACUCCUUACAAAACAAAUGCUGAAUGUUAUCUUCACUUUGCACCUUUAUUUCAAGGAAGUGAAAAUCCUCUUAGGAUGUCUUCUUUUUUAACUUUCCAGAAUAAUUUUAUUUAUGUGUUUUUAAAAAAUAAUUAUUGGAGUAUACUUGACUUACAAUGUGUGUUAGUUUCAAGUGUACAGCAAAGUGAAUCAAUUAUACAUAUACACAUAUCCAUUCUUUUUCAGAUUCUUUUCCAUUAUAGGUUAUUACAGAAUACUGAGUAGAGUUCCCUGUGCUAUACAGUAGGUUCUUGUUAAUUAUCUAUUUUAUAUAUAAAUGUGUGUAUAUGUUAAUCCCAAACUCCUAAUUUAUCCCUCCCCCUCCUGUUUCCCCUUUGGUGACCAUAAAUUUAAUUUCAGAAUCUGCGAGUCUAUUUCUGUUUUGUAAAUAAGUUUAUUUGUAUCUUUUCAAAAAUUAGAUUCCACAUAUGAGUGAUAUAUUCUUUCUGUUAGCAAAAACAGGUGCAAAUAUAGGUCUUUCCCAAAAGCAAAGUGGUGGAAAAUGAACUUUCAAAAAGUGGGGAUAAUUGUAUAGAAGUGUGCUUAUAAGAUUAUGUGUUUUUUUUCCAUUGGACGUUCUCAGGCAAGGCAUCUAAGUCGCACCUCAGCAGUAAUCUGAGCCACUUCAGUGACAAUGCUGGGUCCUUAGCUCGCUGAGCCACAAGAGAACUAACUCCAAGAUUAUAAAUCUUAUUUACAUAAAAUAUAGUUUAAAAGUUCACGAACAAAAUAAUACGUGUGUAUUUCAAAGUGUUUCUAACAAUGCCAGAAGUGCUGUCCAUUUUAGAUUGUACUGUAGUUUUAAUGGUCUAUACUCUGACAAAAUAUGUAAAUAGAGUAUUUUUGAUAUUUUCCUAUACUCAGAAAUAUAUAUGUAUACUUGUAUUUCAAAGAGCUAUAUCUACAUAAAUAGUUUUCCUGAAUAAAUAUGUAUUUCUGUAGCUUCAUGGGACAAUCUGCAGCAGGUGGAUUCUAUCAAAUGUUUAACAAAGAAAUAAUACAAAACUCAUACAGAUAUCUCUAGGAAAUAGAAGGAUGGUUCAGCUUGUUUUUUGAGGCCAGAGGACAUUGAUUCCAACAUCAGAUGAAGAUACUGCAAGGAAAGAAAAUAGUAGAAGAGUUAUCCUUCAUGAGUUCAAACUUAAAAAAAAAAAACAAAAAACAUUAGCAACUGAAUUUAGCAACAUAUUAAAAAGAGUAAUUGAGUAGGGCCAAGAAAGAUUAAAUCAAGCAAGGUCGAUUUAACAUUAAAAAUGUAUUAAUGUGCAGAGUUCCUGUCGUGGCUCACUGGUAAUGAACCUGACUAUAUCCAUGAGGCUGGGGUUUCUAUCCCUGGCCUUGCUCGGUAGGUCAAGGAUUCAGCGUUGCCUUGAGCUGUGUUGUAGGUCACAGAUGCAGCUCGGAUCCCAUGUGGCUGUGGCUGUGGUGUAGGCUGGCAGCUGCAGCUCUGAUUCAACUCCUAGCCUGGGGACUAGCGUAUGCUGUAGGUGUGGUCCUAUAAAGAAAAUAUAUAUAUAUAUAUAUAUAUAUGUAUAUAUAAGUAUAGUUUAUCACAUAAACAAAUGAGAAAAUUACAUGAUCACGAAGAUAAAUGCAGAAAGCCUUUUGAAAACAUCAGCAUCUAUCCAUUCAUAAAAAAAUAAGUGAAACGAUCUUCAUCAUGUACUCUGUUUCCCUCCGUGUCCGUCGAACCUGAACCUAGAGCUUAACCUCUGAGGGCUGGGUUUUCUUAGCUGUGGUGUUCUCAGGUGCGAUCGAAGAGAAAAUUUAAGCUACUCUUAUUUUAGGUUGAGCUUUCAUUUCCUAUAUUUCAUAUAUUCCACUCAUAUUCAUUCUGUAAUGAGAACUAAUUCUUCUAGGGGCUAAAAUGAUAAAACUAGAUAAAGAAAGAAGAGUAACUGGAUUUCUGAAAAAAGGCCUCUCUGACUCUGAGUCCUUUGACUAUACUGCUGUUCUUUGAGCACUAGAAGGGAGAGCAGUGUGGAGAGAAAAGAGGUUAGAAGGCUUUGCAUAAAGCAAAUACAUUCCUGUUCUGUCGAAAUUGUAAUUUGAUGGCCUGUGAAGUAUUUCUCAUACGUUUCCCAAUAACUUAUUUUCUUUUGAGACUUGCCUUAGGUAAGUCUCGGCUACUUACCUAGGAAGAGCAAUUUGGCGAAGUUGAUGCCAGAUGCAUUCAUGAUGGGUAGAAUGGGGCCAGCUGGGGGGCCACACACAUCUGGGCCAUUCACCCUGGGUUUAGGGUUUAUAGCUCAUUUGGAAGAUAAUUGUGCUAUGCUGGUGCACAGAUUUUUAUUUUGUUCUUUUUCCUGAAUCCCAUCUUUUGCAAUUUUAGAUGAUGUCUUCAUCAUCUUGCAAAAUUAAUAUGAUUUUUGAAAACUAUUUAUUUAUGUAUUUUUGGCCAUAUCCGUGGCCUGCAAAAGUUCCCAGGCCAGUGAUCGAACCCUUGCCACAACAGUGACCCCAGCUGCUGCAGUGAACACUGGAUCCUUGAUCUGUUGUACCGCAAGGGAACUCCAAUAUGAUUUUCAUUAAAAUAUUUUGCACUGGGAGUUCCCGUCGUGGCGCAGUGGUUAACGAAUCCGACUAGGAACCAUGGGGUUGCGGGUUCGGUCCCUGGCCUUGCCCAGUGGGUUAACGAUCCGACGUUGCCGUGAGCUGUGGUGUAGGUUGCAGAUGCGGCUCGGAUCCCGCGUUGCUGUGGCUCUGGCGUAGGCCGGCGGCUACAGCUCCGAUUCGACCCCUAGCCUGGGAACCUCCAUAUGAUGUGAGAGCGGCCCAAGAAAUAGCAAAAAGACAAAAAAAAAAAAAAAAA